GACGAACGCUGGCGGCGUGCUUAACACAUGCAAGUCGAACGAUGAACCGAGAGCUUGCUCUUGGGGAUUAGUGGCGAACGGGUGAGUAACACGUGAGUAACCUGCCCUGGACUCUGGGAUAACCCCGAGAAAUCGGAGCUAAUACCGGAUAGGACCUUGCACCGCAUGGUGUGGGGUGGAAAGUUUUUUCGGUUUGGGAUGGACUCGCGGCCUAUCAGCUUGUUGGUGAGGUAAUGGCUCACCAAGGCGUCGACGGGUAGCCGGCCUGAGAGGGUGACCGGCCACACUGGGACUGAGACGCGGCCCAGACUCCUACGGGAGGCAGCAGUGGGGAAUAUUGCACAAUGGGCGCAAGCCUGAUGCAGCAACGCCGCGUGCGGGAUGACGGCCUUCGGGUUGUAAACCGCUUUUAGUAAGGAAGAAGGGGAGCUUGCUCCUUGACGGUACUUGCAGAAAAAGGACCGGCUAACUACGUGCCAGCCGCCGCGGUAAGAC
rnacentral:rRNA from 1 species